rnacentral:lncRNA from 1 species
ACUAAAUAGAACAUGAGCGAACGACUGUACAAAAAAAUAAAAGAAAGCGAAUGUGAGUCUAAUUUGUUCAUUUCAAAUAACAAGGUACUGUUUGAAAACGUGUAUAGUUUGAUAACAGAUGGUAUUCCCAUCCCUAGUACAUAUUAUGUGAACGAAAAAAUAGUUGAUAGCGAGACAGAUAGGUAUGUUUUAACCAAAUAUAUAUAUGACGUAGAUGACAUAAUAUAUAAGCUAGAAGCACAUUCAAAAAUACAACUUGAAAAAGUGACUAAUUUAAGAGUAGAAUGUAUAGACGAAAAAAAAUAUUUAAAAGAAAAUGAAAUUGAAUUAUUAUAUGAAAAAGAUAAAUAUAAUGAAUUAGAUUCGAUACAUAUAUAUAUAUCGUAUAAUAAUUUUGAAUAUAUAUGGAAUGAAAAUACUAUGCCUUAUUUUUUAAGUUGCUAUCAAGAUGAAACAAAUUUUAAAACACAUACUCAUAUUUUAGAAAAAAGUGAUUGUGGUUAUGAUUUACAAAUUGAAUUAUAUGAAAUUCCACAAAACCCAGUACAAGCAUUUUUGGUAGCAUGUCAUUUGUCUAAAAUAAGAGAAGCAUUACAGUGUGGUCCAUUCAUGUAUUUUUUUUUAAACAAAAUAAAUCUACCAGAAAAUAUGUUUGAAAAAUUUAUAAUAAGAAAAAACGAAGUUAUUUUUAUUCUUAAAAAAAGUGAUUAUGUUUUAGUUGUCAUUUCUAUACAUGCUUACGAUCACAUUGAUAAAUAUAUUGUCAUAGGAUUAUGUAAAAACAUUCAUUUAAUUACUAAAACUAUGGACUUGUGUGGAAAUCUUGAUUGUUCUUUUUAUACUAAGUUCCCAGCGCAUUUGAUUACUUCAGAGUUUUUCGUUUACGAUGAUAGUGAUAGUAGUAAUUAUGAAGUCAGACGGUCUGCACGACGCGCGGAUUGUACAGGUACAAAUGAUAGGUAUGGAUAUGAGACUCACAAAAAUGACUGCAGUAGCGUAGACUCAGAAAAUAUAAACAAAAACUACCAUAAUGGUGAUGGUGAUGUGAAAGAUAAAGCAGAAGCAGAAGCAGAAGCAGAAGCAGAAGCAGAAGCAGAAGAAGAAGAAGAAGAAGAGGAAGAAAAAAAUGAAGAGGAAGAAAAGGACGAAAAGGAAGAAAAAAAUGAAGAGGAAGAAAAGGACGAAAAGGAAGAAAAAAAUGAAGAGGAAGAUAAAAUACCUAAUGUUGGAUUCGUGUCGAUAAAAAUGGAUUUACAAUUAUUUAACAGUUGUCGUGACUUUUCAGAGUUGGUAAAAGUUUCUAGUAGAAUAUCUCAUAUAAUUAUUUCUUUUCGUCAUUUCUUAAAUAAUGCUUUAGUUUUAUAUAGGAUAAAACGUAGGCGUAUUUAUUAAGCGCAAAAAAAAAAAAUAAAAAUCAAUAAAAAACCGCUUAAAAGGACA